rnacentral:tRNA from 1 species
AAGUUAUUUAGCUUAUAUUACUAAAGCGUGUAUUUUGAAAAUAUAAAAAAGAGAAUUUUAAUAACUUU